CCUACGGGAGGCAGCAGUGGGGAAUAUUGGACAAUGGGCGCAAGCCUGAUCCAGCCAUGCCGCGUGUGUGAAGAAGGCCUUCGGGUUGUAAAGCACUUUCAGCGAGGAGGAAGGGAUGUAUGUUAAUAGCAUGCAUUUUUGACGUUACUCGCAGAAGAAGCACCGGCUAACUCUGUGCCAGCAGCCGCGGUAAUACAGAGGGUGCAAGCGUUAAUCGGAAUUACUGGGCGUAAAGCGCACGUAGGCGGUUUUUAAGUCAGAUGUGAAAGCCCCGGGCUCAACCUGGGAAUUGCAUUUGAAACUGGGGAACUAGAGUGUGUGAGAGGGGGGUAGAAUUCCAAGUGUAGCGGUGAAAUGCGUAGAGAUUUGGAGGAAUACCAGUGGCGAAGGCGGCCCCCUGGCACAACACUGACGCUCAGGUGCGAAAGCGUGGGGAGCAAACAGGAUUAGAUACCCUGGUAGUCCACGCCGUAAACGAUGUCUACUAGCUGUUCGUGUCCUUGUGAUGUGAGUAGCGCAGCUAAACGCACUAAAGUAAGACCGCCUUGGGGGAGUACGGUUCGCAAGAUUAAAACCNCAAAAGGGAAUUGACGGCNGAGAGNGCGACGGACGACGACGAGGGAGGAGGAG
rnacentral:rRNA from 1 species